UACGGAGGGUGCAAGCGUUGUUCGGAAUCACUGGGCGUAAAGGGCGUGUAGGCGGUCUAUCAAGUCUGGUGUGAAAUCCCCUCGCUCAACGAGGGAACUGCGCCGGAAACUGACAGACUAGAGUACCGGAGAGGAAGGUGGAAUUCCCGGUGUAGCGGUGAAAUGCGCAGAUAUCGGGAGGAACACCAAUGGCGAAGGCAGCUCGCUGGGACGGUACUGACGCUGAGACGCGAAAGCGUGGGGAGCAAACAGG
rnacentral:rRNA from 1 species